rnacentral:rRNA from 1 species
GACGAACGCUGGCGGCGUGCUUAACACAUGCAAGUCGAGCGGGAUCCAACCGGUGGCAACACCGGGGAAGAUCUAGCGGCGAACGGGUGAGUAACACGUGAGCAACCUGCCCCGAAGACUGGGAUAACACCGGGAAACCGGUGCUAAUACCGGAUGUCGUCAUUAGGCCGCAUGACCUGAUGAUGAAAGGAUUCAUCGCUUCGGGAGGGGCUCGCGGGCUAUCAGCNGUUGGUGGGGUAACGGCCUACCAAGGUGACGACGGCUAGCUGGUCUGAGAGGACGACCAGCCACACUGGGACUGGGACACGGCCCAGACUCCUACGGGAGGCAGCAGUGGGGAAUCUUGCGCAAUGGGCGAAAGCCUGACGCAGCAACGCCGCGUGGGGGAUGAAUGCCUUCGGGUU